rnacentral:tRNA from 2 species
GGUCCGUUGGUCAAGGGGUUAAGACACCGCCUUUUCACGGCGAUAACACGGGUUCGAAUCCCGUACGGACUA